GGAUCGGGCGUUCCCCUUCGGGGGACAGGGUGACAGGUGGUGCAUGGUUGUCGUCAGCUCGUGUCGUGAGAUGUUGGGUUAAGUCCCGCAACGAGCGCAACCCUCGACCUUAGUUGCCAGCAUUCAGUUGGGCACUCUAAGGUGACUGCCGGCUAAAAGUCGGAGGAAGGUGGGGAUGACGUCAAAUCAUCAUGCCCCUUAUGACCUGGGCUACACACGUGCUACAAUGGGCGGUACAAAGGGUCGCGAACCCGCGAGGGGGAGCCAAUCCCAAAAAGCCGCUCUCAGUUCGGAUUGCAGGCUGCAACUCGCCUGCAUGAAGCCGGAAUCGCUAGUAAUCGCGGAUCAGCAUGCCGCGGUGAAUACGUUCCCGGGCCUU
rnacentral:rRNA from 1 species